rnacentral:rRNA from 1 species
AUUGAACGCUGGCGGCAGGCCUAACACAUGCAAGUCGAACGAGUGGCGGACGGGUGAGUAAUGUCUGGGAAACUGCCUGAUGGAGGGGGAUAACUACUGGAAACGGUAGCUAAUACCGCAUACCAUCAGAUGUGCCCCGAUGGGAUUAGCUAGUUGGUGAGGUAACGGCUCACCAAGGCGACGAUCCCUAGCUGUUCUGAGAGGAGAAACAGCCAACAGGGAACUGGCAAACGGUCCAGAUGCCUACGGGAGGCAGCAGUGGGGAAUAUUGCACAAGGGGCGAAAGCCGGAGGAAGCCAUGCCGCGUGUAUGAAGAAGGCCUUCGGGUUGUAAAGUACUUUCAGCGGGGAGGCGUUACCCGCAGAAGAAGCACCGGCUAACUCCGUGCCAGCCGCCGCGGUAAUUC